rnacentral:rRNA from 1 species
GAUGAACGCUGGCGGCGUGCCUAAUACAUGCAAGUCGAACGCUGAAGGAAGGAGCUUGCUCUUUCCGGAUGAGUUGCGAACGGGUGAGUAACGCGUAGGUAACCUGCCUGGUAGCGGGGGAUAACUAUUGGAAACGAUAGCUAAUACCGCAUAACAGUAGAUGUUGCAUGAUAUCUACUUAAAAGGUGCAAUUGCACCACUACCAGAUGGACCUGCGUUGUAUUAGCUAGUUGGUGAGGUAACGGCUCACCAAGGCGACGAUACAUAGCCGACCUGAGAGGGUGAGCGGCCGCACUGAGACGGAGACACGGCCCAGACUCCUACGGGAGGCAGCAGGAGGGAAUCUUCGGCAAUGGGCGGAAGACUGACCGCGCAACGCCGCGUGAGUGAAGAAGGGUUUCGGAUCGUAAAGCUCGGUUGUAAGAGAAGAACGAGUGUGAGAGUGGAAAGUUCACACUGUGACGGUAUCUUACCAGAAAGAGACGGCUAACUACGUG